AAGAGGUCACACCCGUUCCCAUUCCGAACACGGCAGUUAAGCUCUUCAGCGCCGAUGGUAGUUGGGGGUUUCCCCCUGUGAGAGUAGGACGCCGCCAAGC
rnacentral:rRNA from 2 species